rnacentral:rRNA from 1 species
ACGGAAGGCAGCAGUGGGGAAUAUUGCACAAUGGGCGCAAGCCUGAUGCAGCAACGCCGCGUGAGUGAUGAGGGUCUUCGGAUCGUAAAGCUCUGUCCUUAAGAACGAAACAAAUGACGGUACUUUUGGAGGAAGCCCCGGCUAACUACGUGCCAGCAGCCGCGGUAAUACGUAGGGGGCGAGCGUUAUCCGGAAUUAUUGGGCGUAAAGAGUACGUAGGUGGGUUGGUAAGCGUGAGGUGAAAGCCCGGGGCUAAACUCCGGUAAGCCUUUCGAACUGCCAGACUUGAGUGCAGGAGGGGAAAGUGGAAUUCCUAGUGUAGCGGUGAAAUGCGUAGAUAUUAGGAGGAACACCGGUGGCGAAGGCGACUUUCUGGACUGUAACUGACACUGAGGUACGAAAGCGUGGGGAGCAAACAGGAUUAGAUACCCUGGUA